rnacentral:rRNA from 1 species
UACAGAGGUCUCGAGCGUUAGGCGGAAUCACUGGGCUUAAAGCGUGUGUAGGUGGAUCGUUAAGUACCUUGUGAAAUCCCACGGCUUAACCGUGGAACUGCUUGGUAUACUGGCGGUCUUGAGUCAGCUAGGGGCUACCGGAACAAAUGGUGGAGCGGUGAAAUGCGCAGAUAUCAGGAGGAACACCGGUGGCGAAGGCGGGGUCUCUGGGCCGAUACUGACGCUGAGGAGCGAAAGCGUGGGGAGCGAACAGG